AUUGAACGCUGGCGGCAGGCUUAACACAUGCAAGUCGAACGAGUGGCGGACGGGUGAGUAAUGCUUGGGAAUCUAGCUUAUGGAGGGGGAUAACUACGGGACACUGUAGCUACUACCGCGUACCAUAGGAUGAGCCCAAGUGGGAUUAGGUAGUUGGUGAGGUAAAGGCUCACCAAGCCGACGAUCUCUAGCUGUUCUGAGAGGAUGAUCAGCCACACUGGGACUGAGACACGGCCCAGACUCCUACGGGAGGCAGCAGUGGGGAAUAUUGCACAAUGGGCGCAAGCCGGAUGCAGCCAUGCCGCGUGUAUGAGGAAGGCCUUCGGGUUGUAAAGUACUUUCAGUCGGGAGGCGUUACCGUCAGAAGAAGCACCGGCUAACUCCGUGCCAGCAGCCGCGGUAAUUC
rnacentral:rRNA from 1 species